UACGUAGGUGGCAAGCGUUGUCCGGAUUUACUGGGCGUAAGAGCGCGCAGGCGGUCUUGCAAGUCGCGUGUGAAAGCCCCCGGCUCAACUGGGGAGGGUCACGCGAUACUGCUCGACUCGAAGGCAGGAGAGGAAGUGGAAUUCCCGGUGUAGUGGUGAAAUGCGUAGAUAUCGGGAGGAACACCAGUGGCGAAAGCGGCUACCUGGCCCCAUUCUUGACGCUGAGGCGCGAAAGCUAGGGGAGCAAACAGG
rnacentral:rRNA from 1 species